UAUUAGAUGACUGAAAUAGUGUUAGUUUUUUAAACUUUUAAUAGUGUGAGCACUUCUAAUGU
rnacentral:tRNA from 1 species